GAUUCUAAUUGUGAAGUUGUGAUUUUGUCAGUCUGGACUAGUUGUUUGAAUUGAGAACAGGUACACGGUGGAGGUGUUGGUCUGGAAAGCAACCAACAAAUGAUAAAGAUGCUGAUGAUAGCUGUCUACAUCCAGGACGUUUGUUCCAUUUGUUCAGCAUCUGUGCCGGACAACAUCUGGAGCCUGAGGAAAUUCCACUAUUCAGGGUAUGACGCGUAAAUGAAAUUACUUUUUCAUGCACUUCAGAAGAGAUUCAAGAGCAUCUUUCUGACCAAACAAGCCCUUUUGUUCUCCUCCAGCAAGUGUUUCUCAUUAAAAAUGUCAUCUCCCUAAUAAAUUGCCUUAUUGCCCCUGCA